rnacentral:rRNA from 1 species
CCUACGGGAGGCAGCAGUGAGGAAUAUUGGUCAAUGGGCGCGAGCCUGAACCAGCCAAGUAGCGUGAAGGAUGACUGCCCUACGGGUUGUAAACUUCUUUUAUAAAGGAAUAAAGUGAGGCACGUGUGCCUUUUUGUAUGUACUUUAUGAAUAAGGAUCGCCUAACUCCGUGCCAUCAGCGGCGGUAAUACGGAGGAUACGAGCGUUAUCCGGAUUUAUUGGGUUUAAAGGGAGCGUAGAUGGGUUGUUAAGUCAGUUGUGAAAGUUUGCGGCUCAACCGUAAAAUUGCAAUUGAUACUGGCAGUCUUGAGUACAGUUGAGGUAGGCAGAAUUCGUGGUGUAGCGGUGAAAUGCUUAGAUAUGACGAAGAACUCCGAUUGCGAAGGCAGCUUACUAAACUGCCACUGACAUUGAUGCUCGAAAGUGUGGGUAUCAAACAGGAUUAGAUACCCUUGUAGUC